rnacentral:rRNA from 1 species
UACGUAGGAUCCAAGCGUUAAUCGGAAUUAUUGGGCGUAAAGAAUUUGUAGGCUGUUGUGUAAGUUGAUUGUGAAAGCCCCGGGCUUAACCUGGGAACGGCACUCAAGACUACACGGCUAGAGUAUAUAAGAGGAGUGUGGAAUUUCUAGUGUAGCAGUGAAAUGCGUAGAUAUUAGAAGGAACACCAGUGGCGAAGGCGACACUCUGGGAUAAUACUGACGCUGAGAAAUGAAAGCGUGGGGAGCAAACAGG